UGAGGAAUAUUGCACAAUGGGCGCAAGCCUGAUGCAGCGACGCCGCGUGUGGGAUGAAGGGGCUACGCCUCGUAAACCACUGUAGCCCGGGACGAAAAACGCCUUAGAGGCGUUAGACGGUACCGGGAAAGUAAGGGUCGGCUAACUACGUGCCAGCAGCCGCGGUAAUACGUAGGACCCAAGCGUUGUCCGGAUUUACUGGGUGUAAAGGGUGCGCAGGCGGAUGGGUAAGUCAGGGGUGAAAGUCUGCAGCUUAACUGUAGAAUUGCCGUUGAGACUGCUCUGCUUGAGUGUGGGAGAUGUUGAUGGAAUGCCAGGUGUAGCAGUGCAAGGCGUAGAUAUCUGGAAGAACACCAGUGGCGAAGGCGGUCAACUGGCCCAUAACUGACGCUCAUGCACGAAAGCGUGGGGAGCAAACA
rnacentral:rRNA from 1 species